AUGUUGCUGCUUUUAUGAAUCAUAAUGUAAAUAUCUCAUAUGCGACCCCCAUGAAAAGGUCAUUCAACUCUCCAAAGUGGUUGAGACCCAUAGGUUGAGAAACGCUGCUCAAGGUUUCUCAACCCCGGCACCUCCAUCCCACCCAGAAUGCUUGCUUGAUAGGUGGAUGCUUGCUCAGCCAGGCUCCUCCCCCAAGAGGGUGUGGCUAAAAACUAGGCACUAUAAAAGUCAAGACCGGUCCGAUUCUUUCUGUGGGUUCCUCUCAGCCCACCUGGAGCGUUUCUUCUCCGCCAGUGGAUACGGUCCCAAAUCCACAUCCUGCAUCUGCUUUGGAAACCGAAGGUUAGAGACUAGAACUAGUGCACUAGAAGUUCCUUUCAUUUUUUUUUUUUCAGGUUCUCAUCUGGAUCUGACAGUUUCUGCUUUGGAUAAAAUAGAGUCAUUGGCCUACCAGGGGCUUCCAGCCUAGUCAUCUGGAAAGGUAAGCAAGGACUCGUGGGACUGGAAGUAGAGUAAAAUAUUUUUCUGGGUCUGGAGACCAGGCUGGCCUCACAGAGAUCCACCUGCCACUGCCUUCCGAGUGUUUUUUAAAAAUAUUUUAUUUAGGGGCUGGAGAGAUGCCUCAGAGGUUAAGAACACUGACUGCUCUUUCAGAGGUCCUGAGUUCAAUUCCCAGCAACCACAUGGUGGCUCACAACCAUCCGUUAUGAGAUCUGGUGCCCUCUUCUGGUGUGCAGAUAUACAUGGAAGCAGAAUGUUGUAUACGUAAU
rnacentral:lncRNA from 1 species